rnacentral:rRNA from 1 species
UACGGAAGGCAGCAGUGGGGAAUAUUGCACAAUGGGCGCAAGCCUGAUGCAGCCAUGCCGCGUGUAUGAAGAAGGCCUUCGGGUUGUAAAGUACUUUCAGUCGUGAGGAAGGUGUUAAGGUUAAUAACCUUAGCAAUUGACGUUAGCGACAGAAGAAGCACCGGCUAACUCCGUGCCAGCAGCCGCGGUAAUACGGAGGGUGCGAGCGUUAAUCGGAAUUACUGGGCGUAAAGGGCACGCAGGCGGUUAAUUAAGUUGGAUAUGAAAUCCCCGGGCUUAACCUGGGAAUGGCAUUCAAGACUGGUUAGCUAGAGUCUUGUAGAGGGGGUAGAAUUCCAUGUGUAGCGGUGAAAUGCGUAGAGAUGUGGAGGAAUACCGGGUGGCGAAGGCGGCCCCUGGGACAAAGACUGACGCUCAUGUGCGAAAGCGUGGGGAGCAAACAGGGAUUAGAUACC